rnacentral:rRNA from 1 species
UACAUGUGGGGCAAGCGUUGUUCGGAAUUACUGGGCAUAAAGGGCGCGUAGGCGGCCUGUUAAGUCGAACGUGAAAUCCCCGGGCUCAACCCGGGAACUGCGUCCGAUACUGGCAGGCUUGAAUUCGGGAGAGGGAUGCGGAAUUCCAGGUGUAGCGGUGAAAUGCGUAGAUAUCUGGAGGAACACCGGUGGCGAAGGCGGCAUCCUGGACCGAGAUUGACGCUGAGGCGCGAAAGCCAGGGGAGCAAACGGG